UGAGGACUAUGAGGAUGAUGAAGAACAAAACGAGCAAGAGGAGGAUGAAGAGAUAGACAUGGAUAAGGAAUCUAUGGAACUAACCAACACAGAACAACAAGUCUGCUGUGGGUCUGAAUGUGGAAUACCAGAAG